CCACGUAGCUCAGUUGGCAGAGCAUUGGGCUAGUAUUCCAAAGGUCGUAGGUCCAAAAUUUGCGUGCA